rnacentral:rRNA from 1 species
UUAAGUUAUUAAGGGCGCACGGUGGAUGCCUUGGCACUAGAAGCCAAUGAAGGACGUUACUAACGACGAUAUGCUUUGGGGAGCUGUAAGUAAGCUUUGAUCCAGAGAUUUCCGAAUGGGGAAACCCAGCAUGAGUUAUGUCAUGUUAUCGAUAUGUGAAUACAUAGCAUAUCAGAAGGCACACCCGGAGAACUGAAACAUCUUAGUACCCGGAGGAAGAGAAAGAAAAUUCGAUUCCCUUAGUAGCGGCGAGCGAAACGGGAAGAGCCCAAACCAACAAGCUUGCUUGUUGGGGUUGUAGGACACUCUAUACGGAGUUACAAAGGACGACAUUAGACGAAUCAUCUGGAAAGAUGAAUCAAAGAAGGUAAUAAUCCUGUAGUCGAAAAUGUUGUCUCUCUUGAGUGGAUCCUGAGUACGACGGAGCACGUGAAAUUCCGUCGGAAUCUGGGAGGACCAUCUCCUAAGGCUAAAUACUCUCUAGUGACCGAUAGUGAACCAGUACCGUGAGGGAAAGGUGAAAAGCACCCCGGAAGGGGAGUGAAAUAGAACCUGAAACCGUGUGCUUACAAGUAGUCAGAGCCCGUUAAUGGGUGAUGGCGUGCCUUUUGUAGAAUGAACCGGCGAGUUACGAUUUGAUGCAAGGUUAAGCAGUAAAUGUGGAGCCGUAGCGAAAGCGAGUCUGAAUAGGGCGUUUAGUAUUUGGUCGUAGACCCGAAACCAGGUGAUCUACCCUUGGUCAGGUUGAAGUUCAGGUAACACUGAAUGGAGGACCGAACCGACUUACGUUGAAAAGUGAGCGGAUGAACUGAGGGUAGCGGAGAAAUUCCAAUCGAACCUGGAGAUAGCUGGUUCUCUCCGAAAUAGCUUUAGGGCUAGCCUCAAGUGAUGAUUAUUGGAGGUAGAGCACUGUUUGGACGAGGGGCCCCUCUCGGGUUACCGAAUUCAGACAAACUCCGAAUGCCAAUUAAUUUAACUUGGGAGUCAGAACAUGGGUGAUAAGGUCCGUGUUCGAAAGGGAAACAGCCCAGACCACCAGCUAAGGUCCCAAAAUAUAUGUUAAGUGGAAAAGGAUGUGGCGUUGCCCAGACAACUAGGAUGUUGGCUUAGAAGCAGCCAUCAUUUAAAGAGUGCGUAAUAGCUCACUAGUCGAGUGACACUGCGCCGAAAAUGUACCGGGGCUAAACAUAUUACCGAAGCUGUGGAUUGUCCUUUGGACAAUGGUAGGAGAGCGUUCUAAGGGCGUUGAAGCAUGAUCGUAAGGACAUGUGGAGCGCUUAGAAGUGAGAAUGCCGGUGUGAGUAGCGAAAGACGGGUGAGAAUCCCGUCCACCGAUUGACUAAGGUUUCCAGAGGAAGGCUCGUCCGCUCUGGGUUAGUCGGGUCCUAAGCUGAGGCCGACAGGCGUAGGCGAUGGAUAACAGGUUGAUAUUCCUGUACCACCUAUAAUCGUUUUAAUCGAUGGGGGGACGCAGUAGNNNNNNNNNNNNNNNNNNNNNNNNNNNNNNNNNNNNNNNNNNNNNNNNNNNNNNNNNNNNNNNNNNNNNNNNNNNNNNNNNNNNNNNNNNNNNNNNNNNNNNNNNNNNNNNNAUAGGCGAAGCGUGCGAUUGGAUUGCACGUCUAAGCAGUAAGGCUGAGUAUUAGGCAAAUCCGGUACUCGUUAAGGCUGAGCUGUGAUGGGGAGAAGACAUUGUGUCUUCGAGUCGUUGAUUUCACACUGCCGAGAAAAGCCUCUAGAUAGAAAAUAGGUGCCCGUACCGCAAACCGACACAGGUAGUCAAGAUGAGAAUUCUAAGGUGAGCGAGCGAACUCUCGUUAAGGAACUCGGCAAAAUGACCCCGUAACUUCGGGAGAAGGGGUGCUCUUUAGGGUUAACGCCCAGAAGAGCCGCAGUGAAUAGGCCCAAGCGACUGUUUAUCAAAAACACAGGUCUCUGCUAAACCGUAAGGUGAUGUAUAGGGGCUGACGCCUGCCCGGUGCUGGAAGGUUAAGAGGAGUGGUUAGCUUCUGCGAAGCUACGAAUCGAAGCCCCAGUAAACGGCGGCCGUAACUAUAACGGUCCUAAGGUAGCGAAAUUCCUUGUCGGGUAAGUUCCGACCCGCACGAAAGGCGUAACGAUUUGGGCACUGUCUCAACGAGAGACUCGGUGAAAUCAUAGUACCUGUGAAGAUGCAGGUUACCCGCGACAGGACGGAAAGACCCCGUGGAGCUUUACUGUAGCCUGAUAUUGAAAUUCGGCACAGCUUGUACAGGAUAGGUAGGAGCCUUUGAAACGUGAGCGCUAGCUUACGUGGAGGCGCUGGUGGGAUACUACCCUAGCUGUGUUGGCUUUCUAACCCGCACCACUUAUCGUGGUGGGAGACAGUGUCAGGCGGGCAGUUUGACUGGGGCGGUCGCCUCCUAAAAGGUAACGGAGGCGCUCAAAGGUUCCCUCAGAAUGGUUGGAAAUCAUUCAUAGAGUGUAAAGGCAUAAGGGAGCUUGACUGCGAGACCUACAAGUCGAGCAGGGUCGAAAGACGGACUUAGUGAUCCGGUGGUUCCGCAUGGAAGGGCCAUCGCUCAACGGAUAAAAGCUACCCCGGGGAUAACAGGCUUAUCUCCCCCAAGAGUUCACAUCGACGGGGAGGUUUGGCACCUCGAUGUCGGCUCAUCGCAUCCUGGGGCUGUAGUCGGUCCCAAGGGUUGGGCUGUUCGCCCAUUAAAGCGGUACGCGAGCUGGGUUCAGAACGUCGUGAGACAGUUCGGUCCCUAUCCGUCGUGGGCGUAGGAAAUUUGAGAGGAGCUGUCCUUAGUACGAGAGGACCGGGAUGGACAUACCUCUGGUGUACCAGUUGUCGUGCCAACGGCAUAGCUGGGUAGCUAUGUGUGGACGGGAUAAGUGCUGAAAGCAUCUAAGCAUGAAGCCCCCCUCAAGAUGAGAUUUCCCAACUUCGGUUAUAAGAUCCCUCAAAGAUGAUGAGGUUAAUAGGUUCGAGGUGGAAGCAUGGUGACAUGUGGAGCUGACGAAUACUAAUCGAUCGAAGACUUAAUCAA